UACGAAGGGGGCUAGCGUUGCUCGGAAUCACUGGGCGUAAAGGGUGCGUAGGCGGGUCUUUAAGUCAGGGGUGAAAUCCUGGAGCUCAACUCCAGAACUGCCUUUGAUACUGAAGAUCUUGAGUUCGGGAGAGGUGAGUGGAACUGCGAGUGUGGAGGUGAAAUUCGUAGAUAUUCGCAAGAACACCAGUGGCGAAGGCGGCUCACUGGCCCGAUACUGACGCUGAGGCACGAAAGCGUGGGGAGCAAACAGG
rnacentral:rRNA from 1 species